AAGUUUGAUAGAAGAUGGAUUGGACAAAAAGGCUUUCAAGACACUAUUAAAGAAGCAUGGACAGCGGCAUCUUUAGAUCAGGAUGUAAGUCUUUUUGAUAAAAUACGAGAAAGUCGAAGAGCUAUGUCUAGAUGGAAAAGAUGACAUCCCUCCAAUAAUGCAAAGCUGAUCGAGGAACUUAAACUGGAACUUGAGAGAGCUCCUCAAAUCAACCCCUGGAAUUUCGAUUGUGCAAUUUAACCCAUGCAAAUAUUCUAAAUUUUUAGCCUUGGUCCUUCGUCUCUUGAUGGUCUUCAAAUCGGCCACAAACUUUAUAAAUUGCAAAUAUAACCCCACAAUUUCGCCUCAAACUUCUCAAGUGUGCACUUAGCCCCAUCAAAUGCAAAUGAACACACAAAUACCAUAUAUACAUAUAAAUGCAUCCUAAAAUGAUUAGAAUGAACUAAUAACAAAUGCUAAAACUCAUAAACGUGAUAUCAUUGGUAUCAAGGAGAAGAAUUUGAAGAAGCUGUCUAAGCAACAGGUGAAAGUUUUGAGCUUUACUACACUCUUUUGUCUUUCUAUUCUGUGUGUUUUUACUUCACAUAUUGAGUCUUUGUAUGUUCUGAGUUUGUAUCGGAUCAAGUUCGUACAAGGAAAUGGUGAGCGUGUGCACAUGACUAUCUAAUAUUCUUGUGGAUUUGGAAUCUAUAAGCAAAUCUGUGGUAAAACUACAGGUAGGUGUUGUUGUUGAGAUGGUGAAUGUGAGUAGAUCUCUGAGAUGUUAUAUGAAGCCGAGUGGCAUACAGUUCUCUGGCUCUAAGGAAGAUUCAGAUGAUGCUGGAGAAUGCGGUGGCAUCCCUGAGUUUAAUUUUUUGAAUGUCUCUGCAUUUGAGAAGAUGGCCGAGGAGCUUGCGGAGAUGUUCAAACGCGAAGUAAUUCUAAAGGAUGGAUGAGAUAUUAGCAACGGUCGGAGAAGAAAUUAGACUCACCUUCUAAAGUUUGAAAGCUAUUCCUUAGUGCGGCGUCUGGUUAAGUUUCUGUUACUUUAAAGCAUGACUGCUUCUACAAAGCAC